GAUGAACGCUGGCGGCGUGCCUAGUACAUGCAAGUCGAGCGAACGGACGAGAAGCUUGCUUUUCUGAUGUUAGCGGCGGACGGGUGAGUAACACGUGGAUAACCUACCUAUAAGACUGGGAUAACUUCGGGAAACCGGAGCUAAUACCGGAUAAUAUUUUGAACCGCAUGGUUCAUAAGUGAAAGACGGUCUUGCUGUCACUUAUAGAUGGAUCCGCGCUGCAUUAGCUAGUUGGUAAGGUAACGGCUUACCAAGGCAACGAUGCAUAGCCGACCUGAGAGGGUGAUCGGCCACACUGGAACUGAGACACGGUCCAGACUCCUACGGGAGGCAGCAGUAGGGAAUCUUCCGCAAUGGGCGAAAGCCUGACGGAGCAACGCCGCGUGAGUGAUGAAGGUCUUCGGAUCGUAAAACUCUGUUAUUAGGGAAGAACAUAUGUGUAAGUAACUGUGCACAUCUUGACGGUACCUAAUCAGAAAGCCACGGCUAACUACGUG
rnacentral:rRNA from 1 species